GGUGGGGGUGGGGGGGGGUGAGUCCAGACAUAAUAGAAGAGGAGCCACCGUCUAGAAAAUAUAAAGCCCGCGGACAUGGGAGUUGGACACCCAGGAGGAAGAGACCAUCCGACUUGAACUUGAGACCUGUGGGGCAAAUGAGGACACAAGUGGAAGGAGAACCACGAGGCCUCAGACACUGCAGUGCAGAGAGGAUAUGUGGACAUACUGUGAACAGCUACGGAAGGGAAUCCAGCACAAUGAACGGCGGAGAUUUCGGCGCUUCACCCCGGAUAGCUGACUGACUGUGGUCCGUGCGCCAGUUGCCUCAAAGUCUCAGUGGGCCGAAGAAAGCUGAGAAGAGGCGAGCUGACAGACCGCACAAGCCUGAAGCUGUCGCUGCAGCGGGGAGGCGACCUGUCAAGCUUAAGUGACUUCCAGGAAGUAUUUUGACAGCUUUCUAUGAUUUGUAACAAUUAAAGCACAAAAAAAUGAUCUCAGUUUAUGACACUCGGUUAGUUCACUCUCACAUCAAAUUGAAUUUCCUGUAAGUAUUGAAAGCAAUAAAAAAAAAUAACCACAGAAGGUUUUAAAUUAAAGAAGUGAUAAAAAGAGAUUAUUCAUUUUCAAUGAAAGCUGCUUAUAAAAUCAAACAGAAGUUAGGUUAAGUAGUAGAGAGUUAUUUUAGAUAAAUAAACCUGUUAUAUUUUUUUGUGAAGAACUUUUUAUUGAACCACUGCGAGUGAAACAUACAGUAGCAUCCAUACAACUUUUAUAAACAUAAUCCCGUCCCCCCGCCCCCCCUCCCGGCAGCAUCCCUCCCUCCCCUCUCAGGUCUCCCCUGGACCAGUCAUACAUCAUCAAGUGUCAACGAAGUGUCAGUGAUUUUUAAUGAAAAUUUGUCAAAAAUGUAAGUUUUAUAUUAAAAUGUACGGCAGCAAUUUAAUCAUUUGUUAGUUAUAUACGUCAACAUAUGUCGUAUGUUGUAUACUAGCAGGGAGACAUAAUAUCCUGACAAUUUGAUAAAAAAAGAUCAAAUUAUUUUUAUUUUUUAAAGUUAUUAAAAGUUGCUGGGGCCCAUGUGUGAUUAAAAUGAAUAAAAUGUCUACUUACAAAAUAUGUAAUAUUUCGUAACAAUACAUGCAGGUUUAUUCUUUACCCUGGGAGAACAGUAUGAAUAGUAUGUGUGACAAAAUAAUCUCAACUCAAAGGCCUUAAACUCAAACUCAGUCUUCAUCAGCAGAUACAUAUUUUAUAUUUCAGUCCUCUAAAACUUUUUGACACUUAAUAUUUAAAUUCCCUUUUAUAAACGCACUUUGCAGUCGAUCUAUAAGUUUGUUUUAUGUGUGUUUUUCUGGUUUCCUGAGGGCCUUCUGUUGUUUUGAGUCUGUGUUCCCACAGGUCAGCCGUCAGCCAUGUGACAUGAGAGACACCUGCAGGAGAUAAACUGUCCUUUGGGGUGAGGUAGUAGGUUGUAUAGUUUUAGGGUCAUUCCCAAGCUGUCAGAUGACUAUACAACUUACUGUCUUUCCUGGAGCGAUUGUGAUUGCGGCGUCAUCAUCAUCAUCAUCAUCAGCCUCACCAUCAUCAUCGUCACAACGGAAAAUGCAAGCAGAUGUUAGAGAGCAAUGUUAGAUAUGAUCUUAAAGUUUUAAAUAAAGGUAUACAAAUGGCUGCUGCAACAUGAUGAUUUAGAAUUUUAAACCAAACUUUUGUAAUGUUUAAAUGUGCUUCUCAUAAUUACAAAUGCUUUAACAACAAGCUCCCAUAAGCUGAUAUUUGAAUAAUGGUUUUUACUUCAUGUCUUCAUUUAACCAAGUAAGCAGAUAUGUCCUCAGCACAAACCUUCAGCUCCAGAUCCUCCUCCUACCCUGACUGGGUGACUUAUGGUGUUCGUACAGGGUGAGGUAGUAGGUUGUGUGGUUUCAGGGUUGUGAUUUUACCCCAUCAGGAGCUAACUAUACAACCUACUGCCUUCCCUGGAGGGCAGCAAUACAUCACAGGAGCACACCUUUCUACUUAGGAAAAAAGCUGACAGACUCAGAUUAACCAAGGGCUGGCCUUUGAUUUCAAAAGGUUCAUUGGAUGGGUGAGUGGUCCCAAAUCACAAUGUGUGUUUCAUAGCGAUACUGCAUAUGUAUGGAUACAUGGAAAGUGCAGUUGGCUGUUUUAACUCUGUAUUAAAUUGUAAAUUGCAAUAAAUAAAGAUCGGAUAAGAGCAAUGUAA